rnacentral:rRNA from 1 species
UGGGGAAUAUUGCACAAUGGGCGCAAGCCUGAUGCAGCCAUGCCGCGUGUAUGAAGAAGGCCUUCGGGUUGUAAAGUACUUUCAGCGGGGAGGAAGGCGAUAAGGUUAAUAACCUUGUCGAUUGACGUUACCCGCAGAAGAAGCACCGGCUAACUCCGUGCCAGCAGCCGCGGUAAUACGGAGGGUGCAAGCGUUAAUCGGAAUUACUGGGCGUAAAGCGCACGCAGGCGGUCUGUCAAGUCGGAUGUGAAAUCCCCGGGCUCAACCUGGGAACUGCAUUCGAAACUGGCAGGCUAGAGUCUUGUAGAGGGGGGUAGAAUUCCAGGUGUAGCGGUGAAAUGCGUAGAGAUCUGGAGGAACACCGGUGGCGAAGGCGGCCCCCUGGACAAAGACUGACGCUCAGGUGCGAAAGCGUGGGGAGCAAACA